UCAUACUGGGAUACUCAAAAUGGGGGCGCUUUCCUUUUUGUCCGUACUGGGAAGUGCUCCGAUUUUGGGGUGUCCCUGUUUGA
rnacentral:pre_miRNA from 1 species